rnacentral:rRNA from 1 species
GGAAUACUGGACAAUGGGCGAAAGCCUGAUCCAGCAAUGCCGCGUGAGUGAUGAAGGCCUUAGGGUUGUAAAGCUCUUUUACCAGGGAUGAUAAUGACAGUACCUGGAGACUAAGCUCCGGCUAACUCCGUGCCAACAGCCGCGGUAAUACGGAGGGAGCUAGCGUUGUUCGGAAUUACUGGGCGUAAAGCCCACGUAGGCGGCGAUUCAAGGCAGGGGUGAAAGCCCGGGGCUCAACCCCGGAACUGCCCUUGAAACUAGAUUGCUAGAAUCCUGGAGAGGCGAGUGGAAUUCCGAGUGUAGAGGUGAAAUUCGUAGAUAUUCGGAAGAACACCAGUGGCGAAGGCGACUCGCUGGACAGGUAUUGACGCUGAGGUGCGAAAGCGUGGGGAGCAAAC